rnacentral:pre_miRNA from 1 species
UGUGUACUCCCUCCGUUCCAAAAUACUUGACUUCCAUUUGUCCAAAAAUGGAUGUACCUAUAUACCAAGACAUGUCUAGAUACAUAUAUAUUUUGACAAAUAGAAGGCAUGUAUUGUGCAACGGAGGGAGUAGAAU